AACGAACGCUGGCGGCAGGCUUAACACAUGCAAGUCGAGGGGUAGCAAGAUUGUAGCAAUACAAUUGUUGACGACCGGCAAACGGGUGCGGAACACGUACACAACCUUCCUACAAGUGGGGAAUAGCCCAGAGAAAUUUGGAUUAAUACCCCGUAACAUAGCGAUGUGGCAUCACAUUGCUAUUAUAGCUUCGGCGCUUGUUGAUGGGUGUGCGGCUGAUUAGAUAGUUGGCGGGGUAACGGCCCACCUAGUCUACGAUCAGUAGCUGAUGUGAGAGCAUGAUCAGCCACACGGGCACUGGGACACGGGCCCGACUCCUACGGGAGGCAGCAGUAAGGAAUAUUGGACAAUGGACGCAAGUCUGAUCCAGCCAUGCCGCGUGAAGGAUUAAGGUCCUCUGGAUUGUAAACUUCUUUUAUAAGGGACGAAAAAAGGUCUUUCUAGAUCGUCUGACGGUACCUUAUGAAUAAGCACCGGCUAACUCCGUGCCAGCCGCCGCGGUAAUAC
rnacentral:rRNA from 1 species